rnacentral:rRNA from 1 species
UACGUAGGGUGCAAGCGUUAAUCGGAAUUACUGGGCGUAAAGCGUGCGCAGGCGGUUUUGCAAGACCGAUGUGAAAUCCCCGGGCUUAACCUGGGAACUGCAUUGGUGACUGCACGGCUAGAGUGUGUCAGAGGGGGGUAGAAUUCCACGUGUAGCAGUGAAAUGCGUAGAGAUGUGGAGGAACACCGAUGGCGAAGGCAGCCCCCUGGGUCAAGAUUGACGCUCAUGCACGAAAGCGUGGGGAGCAAACAGG